UUAACACAAUAAGAUUUAUGAGAAUAUUAUAAUCUUAUUAAAAAAAUAAAUUCUUGAUUAAAAAAAGAAUAAAGAAAUUUGAAAUUUGAUCAUCUUUCUAUACUUUUCAAUGUUUUUCUACCUUUCUUUUUUGGAAGCUUGAAUAUUUAAUCCGUACAAAUUUUAAUUUUGAAAAAUUAUCCCAAAAUCUUCUAAAGUGAGACGAUAUUCCGAAGUCGUAAUCUCAAAAUCCACUUAUUUCAUUCUAACUACAUCAAGAAAACACAUUAAUUGAGAAAAGAAAGGAAGUAAGUUGCUUUCUCUCUCUCUCUCUCUCUCUCUCUUUCUCUCUCUCUCUCUGGUUCUCUAUCUUUCAGCUUUUUUAUCUUUUCACGCGUCUUACGGAUGAUAAAAUAACGACAUUGUCUUUAUUUUAUCGUUAAGACGAUGCAUACGUUGCGCUGCCAUGUUCGACCAGCUUCUGAAUCGCGCGCGCUACAAAUGCGCGAGUAAGCGAGCGAGAAAGAAAGAGAGAAAGAAAGACAGAGACGCACCUGCGUGCCGCGACGCGCAGCUGUGACCUUCGACGCCCUUGUACCGCCGGCAACCGUUCUGGCGGGAGAGAACAUCGUCGUCAUUUUUACAUGAGACGCCGUACGUUCACGUAGAGAUCUACAAUCGAGCUUCGUGUCAUCGUUGUCGACAUCAACGUUGUUAUUGCCAUCGGUGUUGUUCGUCCGAUCUGAAUCUUCUUAAAAAAAUUCUGUCUCGUCUUCGCGAAUCUGAGGACCGAAAGUGCGGAAGUGUUCCGCUGAGUUUCAGCGGACGUACGAGCAAACGUGUAUUUCGCUUCGUUCUUGAAAAAAGAGGGGAAACCGCUUUCCGGGAAGUCGGAGGUGUAAUCUAUAUGCAAACGUUGAAGUAUAUUUUUUAAUUGGCCAAUUUGUAAACUUUUUUUGAAUGGUCAAUUAAAUACUUAAAAGCAUUUGUAGCCGCAAGUACAUUGCACUUACAGGAUGUCGUAUAUAAUGUCGUCAUCUUCUGAUGCAAUAUGAAUUGAAAAAAGUUAAUGAUAAUGUUUUUAAUAAAUAUUUAAUAUUGAUUAAUUGAUAUUUUUCAACUUUAACGUAUAUCGAUUUAAAUCUUAUAAUUGCUUUUAUUUUUUAAUUCUCUCGAAUUUUCAAGUAAAUUAAAUCUUUAGUAAACUAGAUUUUAAAACAUUUUCUAAGUAAUUCUAAAGUAAAAUUCUAAAGUAAUUUUCUGGUAAUCUUGAUUAGAGAUUUAAAUGAGAAUAAAAGAAUUGAUAUAUUUUA